GAACCGGACAGGCAGUAAGUGGGCAGCUGCAAGCCAUGUUAUCCAAAGACUAGAGUUACAUGAGCAGUUUGAGCCCUCGUUAGCAUGUGAACCGCUUAUGCUAGGUUAGCAUGACAUGCUGAUUUUAAGCGGAGGCCGAAAUGAUUCUCACACACAGACGCAAAAAUGACAUAUUGAUGUAAAAAUAGCAAACCGCCGAAGAUCACGCUGCACUAUUUCAUUUAAGGAACUGUAUGAUCUUACGGCGGCCCCUUGCCCUUGCCAAACCUAAUAAGAAGAUGAUCUCCGAUGUCCACUACCCAGGGUGCUGUAAGACAAUCUGAUUGGAUAAACUGUGGGAGGACACAGAUUGGCUUAGCAGCGAGCUAAGUCUCGCACGACUCAGCAUUUUGCCAGCGUCAUUAUUGGAGAAGAUCGAGACGUGAGGGCCACCUGAAUUGUAGUAAUGAAAAGUAUUCCCCUUUCAAACUGAAGCUAUUUACGUGAAGAAAAAAGCGUUCAACAUAGAAUAUGAAGUGUGGUGUUCACAUUUCUCCCUCUCUGCUCUCUCCUCACAUCUCCCUCUUUCAUCCUUGCAUUCUCUCUCUGGACAGCUCUCCAAACAGGCCAGCAGACAAAGUGUUCAGUCAAGCCUCCUAAUUGCUGGCUCAUAUGGGCCGUCAGAUCGCAGCAGAAAGCUUUGGUAACGGUCCAGCAAUCAUUAAUUCACUUGGAAGUAUACUCUCGACAAGCAAGGCCUGCUCUGACCACUCCAAGGGCCGGGCUAUCGUGUGAAUGGUGGCGUGCACAUGUAGUGCCUGGAUCCACCUUCAGAGCCCCGUCCAGGCUUUAUCCGCACAUCUGAGGCCACGCAUGGACCUCGGAAGCCCAAUCCAGUUUGUUUCCUUCAAUCCGAUUAGUUGCUUUUCAGAUCUAUACUAAUUACAGCAAUCCUCCAACCCUCCUCUUCUCUUCCACCUUCUCCAUCCUCCUUGUUCAAGUCUUGACCACGUCAGCAUUAACCGCUAAUCUCCAGUCCAGCUCGGGCCAACAGUCGGCCGCUGCUAACCAGGUGUUAGACUAGUAGAGAAGUGCACGGCAGCUGGUUGGAGCAUAUGCACUUUCGGCGCGGCUGCGGAUGAAAGCAUUUGUGUCGAACGGCCAAUAGCAAACAAAAUAAAUAAAUAAACACUGCACUUUAGUUGGUUUUUACUCCAAUAAGCAAAAAUGACCCUUUUUUAUCAUCCUAACAUAUUGCAUAGGACGACUAAUAGCAAUAACUCAGUGGAAUUCAAAAUAAUUUUGACUAAAUCCACGUUGAGACAAAGUGGAGGGGAAAAAAACGGAUCCCACCCCGUUCUUCUUUUCCCUAACUGCUUCCAGUGAAGUGUUUCUCUCGAGAAAACAAAUACCAGUUGUGCCCUUCUCCUGUGUCCAGAAAACAGCACACCGCUGCCCCGAGGCCAUUUUCUGCCCUGGCAGGAAAUCUAACCAGCAACAACUUCUCUCUAAAAACAAUACACGGCCUCCUAUUUGUUGUCGUGCUACAG